rnacentral:sRNA from 1 species
UCUCAUUCCCACGCUUCAUCGUACCCCAACUGACUUCUAUCCCAUGCGCCCUCCCCGCCAGGUUCCAUCGUCGUCAUUAUGGCGCCCGCGGCUCUCAAAAAAACACUGCCAUCAAGCUUACCCAUACCCUUAACCGCCUCCUCUUUACCAUCUCCCCCUUCUUCUUUGUAGGCACCCGGCAAGCCACCCGGAGGUGAGUUACCGAGAAGGGAGGCGUAAUGCGCGAGCGAGCGGAUCGACUUUAUCACAUGGGAAUCUGGCGGAUUGUAAUGUUAGCGUCACAGAGUUGUGAAUCAGACGACAAUGAGGUAGUCUCGAGGGGAAGAAAAGUGAUUGAUCGUUGCCUGAUCGGAUGGGCGGGUGGCAGAUAUGGAAGGUCGCGAGGGCGGAAGAAAGGGAAAAGGGAAAAAGCGAAGUAAGAAAAGAGACAUACCAGGGUAAACCAUCGCACUCUCCACCAAACUCAACCACGGGUUCCUCUCUUCCUUUUCCCCCUUUCCCAGCGCCUUAUCCUCUUUCACCAGUUUCUUUAGGGCCUCUUCACUUCCUUCAGUAUUGAUGGUAGGGUAGAGGUCAUAAGACAUGAUCAGCUCCGGAUUGAUUGGGGGUCGCCCGCGGGCAAGAGCGGUGUGGAAGGCUUCGAGGAUGUAUCGUUUUAGAAGAGCUCGACGGAGGGAGGGUGUUAGGCGGGUGAGAUAGGCGGGGAGGAAGAUGGAGGAAGUUAAAGCGUGCAUCUAAAACAAACGAAUUCGACGUUCCGAAAAGGAAAAUGAAAGGAGAGUCGUGGAAUUAGUAAUGGUACCAGAGGAGCCACAGGGCAAGAGUAUAGGAUGGUAAAGUAAGGGAUAAGAGUGACUUACAAGGAAGAAAUCAACUCGGAUUUCCUUGCCUUUCCUCCCAGUCGCACACGCCAAAAGGGUAACGAAAACAGUAAUCUCUUCAAACUUCUUUUGCCAUCCGUCUGGCCCAUCUGCGACCUCUUCGUCGGACAAGCUCCAUCGGUCCACGAGCGCUCGCAGUUCUGAGGCUUUGGGACCGUCGACAGAUGAUUUGAGUUGGUCGUUGACCAUAGAUUCGGGAUCGUAAGGCUGGGGCUUGAGAGUGGGAGAGGAUAAGAGGGAAGUGUAGAUCGAGAGGAGGGAGGGGGAGGAAGAGGGACGAGGAGUAGAAGGGGUGGUGAAUAGGGGUUGGAUGUGGGAAGGGGGGAUGACGAGGUUGACAAUCACAUCUGGGUGGACGGCGGUUUCUGCCAGUCUACCAGUAGAAAAAUCUCAGCAGCUCUUCUCAUGGCAGAUGGGACCUAAACGGCUAGGCAUAUCAGAAACUCACCCUUCGGCUAACACUACUCGAUCGUUGAACUCUAACCCAAACCCAGUAUGGAUAAAAGGAUGUAUUGCCCCUGCCAAAAGCCGGUUGAACAUGUUGGGAGGACCUUGAUCCUUACCAGAGGGGUCGGUAAAGGUCUCCCAAUUAGCUUGCGGGGAAAAGAUGUAUUCUUCGAGAACACCUUGAGGACCGAGACGUGCGAUUUCAUCGUGGAAGAAUACCAGGUAAGGGGCAUAACAUCUGCACCCGUAUCGUCAGUUGCUCGGCAAAGAAAAAAAAAAGAGUCGAUAUCAUGUCUUUAGCUCACCCUUUAUUCCCGAGAUGAUUGCCCCAAUCUUCCCUGUUUAUUCUCUUGGGCACCUUAGUCUCGUCGACAUCCUUCCUAUCAGGACCUGCGGGAUCUAACGAAACGAGAUGUGUCUUGUCAUGAUUCCAACAGUCAUGAAUCAAUUUGGGUGGUGCUCCAAAAGCGUAACGAGAAAAGACAGAGUGGGGAAAGUGAUUGUGAGCAACUAGCGUGGAGACGCAUCCCAUUCAUAGAUGUCAUACCCCCUGUUAUUCUCUUCCAACACUUCUCUCACGGCCUUGGUGCUGUCCCAGGUAAUUCCUGGCCAUUUGAAGUAUGCUGAAGGCUCAGCUGUCGAGGUCGGAAAGUUACUGGCAAACGAAGGAGGUCGAGCGGACAUGGCGGUCACUGUUCUUGUUUGGAGAGAUUGGCGGAUAGUUUGAGAUAUACGGAUAGAUCUUAUCUUGGGUGGCGAGGCGGUCAUUAGUUGAGUGUGAGCUGGGGCGUGGCUUGUGAAUGCGACCUUUAUACAUCGCGUCUGAAUAAUGGAAAAGCA